rnacentral:rRNA from 1 species
CCUACGGGGGGCAGCAGUCGAGAAUCAUUCACAAUGGGGGAAACCCUGAUGGUGCGACGCCGCGUGGGGGAAUGAAGGUCUUCGGAUUGUAAACCCCUGUCAUGUGGGAGCAAAGUAAAAAGAUAGUACCACAAGAGGAAGAGACGGCUAACUAUGUGCCAGCAGCCGCGGUAAUACAGAGGUCUCAAGCGUUGUUCGGAAUCACUGGGCGUAAAGCGUGCGGAGGCUGUUUCGUAAGUCGUGUGUGAAAGGCGCGGGCUCAACCCGCGGACUGCACAUGAUACUGCGAGACUAGAGUGAUGGAGAGGGAAGCGGAAUUCUCGGUGUAGCAGUGAAAUGCGUAGAUAUCGAGAGGAACACUCGUGGCGAAGGCGGGUUCCUGGACAUUAACUGACGCUGAGGCACGAAGGCCAGGGGAGCGAAAGGGAUUAGAUACCCUUGUAGUC